GUAGCUCUUAUGUUCAGAAAAUAAAGUAUGCCUUUAUGAGGUAUAAGCUUUGGUUUGAAUAAAACCAAAUUCGAUCCUCAUAACUAGGUCAGUCACGAAAUCUUUCACUCUUCCGAUUCAAGUUUCACAUUGCUCGGAGUAGGAACGAUCAAGUUUCUACUGACUUUCGCCUCUGGUGCCGCGACGCCAUCGACGGGAUCCUCGUGAGCAUAAAGCAGCUUCAGGAUGAUGUUAGGUUCCUCCGAUCGUUGCCCGCUAAAUUCAUCCGUUUGUUAAACUUUGCUCUUAGGGAAGUACUUGGCAAUCAUGUUGACUAGAAAGGAUCCAUUGUUCUACCUCAAAAAUUGAGAUUCGACUUUUUCUCAUGGCAAGCCUGUUGACGCCGACAAUUUAAGGAGAAUUGAGGCAAUUGUUAAUGAGCAAAUUAAAGCUGAAUUGGAUGUAAGUGCAAAGGAAGCAACUCUUGCCGAAGCCAAGCGUAUCAAAGGAAGUCUAUGUUAUAAUUCCUUUUAUUAUAACUUCAACUUAACCCAUAUUUUUAUUAUUCUACUUAAUUGAAUUUUCUAGGGUCUUACAGUUUUAUCCUAGAUCAUGUUCCUCAAUAUUUUGCCUUGGUGUCCCGAUCCUGUUAGAGUUGUGUCAAUUGGACAAAAAGUUGAGGAUCUUCUUGCUGACCCUGACAAUGAAAAAUGGUUAUCUAUUUCAAUAGAACUAUGUGGAGAUGUGUAGUGGAGUUGAUGAAAAUGCAACUGGAGUAUGGGCACAGCUUGUGUUUGCACCUAUCGAUGACUCUUUUGCAAAUGAUGCUCUGUUACUGCCUUCUGGUUUCCGCAUCAUAUCAUUGGAUCCUAUGAUGACGCAUUUGAUUUUGAAAUCACUUGGUCUUGUUAUUUUCUUAAGUAGCUUUUUGAAGGGACUCAUGAACAUGAACAUGUUUUGUCUUACAUAUGAACAUGUUUUGUCUAACAUGAUUACGUGUUUCUGAAUAUUUGUUGAUUUCAUGAUGGUCCAACUUCAACUAGGACACUAGAUUUGGCAUCAGCACUAGACAUAGGAUCUGGUAAUACUCGCCCUGCUGUGAAACUGAUCUGAAUAACUACAACUUUAAAA